UGGGGAAUAUUGCGCAAUGGGCGGAAGCCUGACGCAGCGACGCCGCGUGGGGGAUGAAGGCCUUCGGGUUGUAAACUCCUUUCGGCUCUGACGAAGCCUUCGGGUGACGGUAGGGGCAGAAGAAGCGCCGGCCAACUACGUGCCAGCAGCCGCGGUAAUACGUAGGGCGCAAGCGUUGUCCGGAUUUAUUGGGCGUAAAGAGCUCGUAGGCGGUCAGUCGCGUCUACCGUGUAAUCCGGGGGCUCAACUUCCGGUUUGCGGUGGAUACGGGCUGACUGGAGUGCGGCAGGGGAGACUGGAAUUCCUGGUGUAGCGGUGAAAUGCGCAGAUAUCAGGAGGAACACCGGUGGCGAAGGCGGGUCUCUGGGCCGUAACUGACGCUGAGGAGCGAAAGCGUGGGGAGCGAACAG
rnacentral:rRNA from 1 species